CAGCAGCCGCGGUAAUACAGAGGAUGCAAGCGUUAUCCGGAAUGAUUGGGCGUAAAGCGUCUGUAGGUGGCUUUUCAAGUCCGCCGUCAAAUCCCAGGGCUCAACCCUGGACAGGCGGUGGAAACUACCAAGCUGGAGUACGGUAGGGGCAGAGGGAAUUUCCGGUGGAGCGGUGAAAUGCGUAGAUAUUAGGAGGAACAUCAGCGGCGAAGGCGGCUUUCUGGACUGCAACUGACACUGAGGUACGAAGGCGUGGGGAGCAAACAGGAUUAGAUACCCGAGUAGUCCCUGUCUCUUAUAC
rnacentral:rRNA from 1 species